UAAAAAGUGGUGUCUGGAACCACCCUAAGCAAGUUACCUAAGCUCUCUUGUCUCUCUUUUCCCCUUUGUAAAAUAGUGAUAGUAACUCUAUCCCUUCCAAAGGUUAGUUGUGUAUAUUAAGUCAAUAUUUAAAACAAACAAACGUAACAGUCUCUGGGGUGCAAUAAUGUUUAGUAUAAGUUAAACAUUAGUUUUAAAAACUAAAUCUAUUUCUUUCAGACCCAAGGUGGCUGGGCAAUAGAAGUAAACUCUGUUAUUACAUAGGCAAAUAAAAACCACUUUCAUUUUGUCCUCUUUCCAUUUUCAAAAUGUAAUUAAUAUCAUUAUCUUGUUAGGUCAUACCUCCUGUCCUCAAACCUGCUGUCAUUUCUCCAUGAAGAAUUGUCCUUGAGGAGCGACUUGGCCCCUGGCCUUGGCCUGCUUCCAGCCUUCUGCUUAUUUCCUUGGACCUGCUGUGUGAUCUUCACAUCAUAGCUGUGAAAUAGUGAAUCAGAAAGAGGGAAGUUGAGAUGUCUGGACUGCUAAAAACAAACAAAACGACAACAACAACAACAAAAACUCAUCCCUGAGAGAGCCACUCUGUGUUUUGCUGAGAUUGUUGGUUCAAAAGCUGGGUGGAGAGACUGCCAGACUAGAGGACUAGCCAAUACUGCAUUGUGACUGAGAUUCAGAAAAGGAACAAUGGCACAA
rnacentral:lncRNA from 1 species